CCUCGCAAACUUCUCCCCCUGCUUUCUCUGCUGAGGGAAAAAGGGAUGUGCAGUAAAAUGCCGUCUCUGGGACAGGUGCCAGCUCCUAGACAAAAGAAGUAAAAUAGGCGGUAAAGAGAGGAGGGGGGGAAAUUAAUAGCCAACAAAAAUAGGAAUCGAAAAUCUCGGAGAGGCAGCGCUGGUGAAAGUCAUGUUGCCUAGCUGGCCUUUUUUCUGAAUAUUUUCUUAGCCACGGGUUGAAAGGAGAAAGUUGAGGCAUACUUUUUAUUCAUGUCUUCUCUGCAGACAUUUGAAAGCGUAAAGGGAGGGUGGAGGAUGUCUUUCUCUCUCUCUCUCCCUUCUCUCUCUCUCUCUCUCUCUCUCUCUCUCCCUUCUCUCUCUCUUUCUCUCUCUCUCUCUCUCCCCCUUCUCUCUCUCUCUCUCUCUCUCUCCCUUCUCUCUCUCUCUCUCUCUCUCUCUCUUCCCUGAAUUAUUCAUAGUGUCAGUGGUGAAGCCAGGACUAUUAGCAUGCAUCAGACAUGCUGUUUGUCUGUUUGCUAACAUUCUUCAUUCAAGACUUGUUAACUACCAGACAAGCUUAACACGCUUCUCUCUUUCCCCUCCCCUUCCCUCUCUCUGUGUCUCUGUCUCCUCGCGCCUGCCUCCCCUCAUUUCUCCCUUCCCUUCCCUUUCAUGCCACCCCUCGCAGCCUCCCAUUGUUGUUGCCGGGAGCUGGCAGCCAGGGGUGGCGGUGGCAGGGGGAAGCAUGCGGACGAGGAGCCCGAGCCCGGUUGCUAGCAUAUUAGCCUGGGUGCAGUCUCCCUGUAAGGCGUGUGAAAUGUACAGCUGCAAAACUACAGUUUUAAACAAAAAAAACCUCUUCCUCAUAUGAACUGUCAUCCAAAACACAGGAUGAAAGUAGCUGAAGAGAAGUUGUUUAUGAUAUCAUCUGCAGGACUCCUAGAAAAUUCUUCAGAAACUUGGGCUUGUCUGUCUCAGGCUGCCCCUAAAAAAUUGAAGUAUUAAUCUGGCAAGAUGAAAUCAAGAUGCACAAAGAGAAGAUAUUGGAGACUAUUCUGCAAGGUGUUCAGGGAAUCCUGUGGUACUGACUUCUCAUGAGUUGGGAUGUUGUCAUUGACAGCUCAUUGGGAUUUUCAGAUCCACUGAUAACAUGCAAACUGGAGUCCGCCUGCCGUUGUCUGUUUGAGAUACGACAUUACAGCUAACAAGGGAGGCUAAGAAGUAACGUGAUGCCAGACAGAAGUAUUUUGGAUAGGUGUACAAUAAGAUCUCAAAGCUGCAAGCAAAGUCUGGGAUUACAUAACAGGGAGUAGGUUCUCCAAACGUGGCAGAUUGCCAUGUAAGGAGAGCUGGCAUAAGUGGAGUGAGGAGGGACAGAGCAAUCGCCAUGCCUGACUACAGACCUCUGCGGAAAUACAAUAGAAUGUCUUACUGGGGAACCCUCGCUAACCAGGUCAGAAGAUGAAAGAACUGAAGACUGGUCAUCUGUGCAGAGGAAAUGAUAAGGAAAAUGUUGAAAUACUGUCCAGUAUAUUUGCUAGGAAUGCUGUGAGAUAAAAAAGUCUCGUCUCCCCUGGAUGCUGGCCUCCCCCUGCUUUCCGAGCGGGAUGAUCUGGUGUCCGUUGUUGCUGCCGGGGAGAGCUCGGGAAGGCAGCACGGCAGGAGUUACUCAGCUGCGGCUCCUCGCAGCCCUGCGUGCGGCGCUUCGCAGCCAUCUUAGCUGUGGGCAGAAAGCCUGUCAGGACUCGCACCACGCGUCAGCUGAUCAAUUGGUCCUUUGAACCGUUUGCAGUGGACCAGCCGGCAUGAAGAGCUGCUGCACCAAAAGCACAGGGUUUAUUUCUGAACCGAAGGCACUUUCUGUGAGGUGACUGCACAGUACACAGGUCCCCGUAUUGAUUAUGCUGAAGGCAGUGGAAGAUCACUGCACCUGAAAUGUGAACUACUGUCUUUGGGGUGAGAUCUGGUUUCUAGUGAAGCAUUGCUUUAGUUUUGCUUUAGUUUUACUGGGUGUGGCUGACGUAAGUGAUCAUUCAUUCUUGUCUUUAGUUUACUGUUACUGAAAAUAUCAAGAAAUUAAAGCUAAUGAAAGCAGGAUAUUUGCUUUAAAAGUUUCUUAUUUAUUGAAGCAGUGCUUAUAUUACACUUCAGACUGGUAUCACAGUUAUUUCCACUUCUUUGGGUUUUCACUGAAUGAGGAGCAUUGUGUUCUAUUAAACAAGGUGUGGGGGGGGAAUAACAACCCCCUCAGACUCCAGCCUAGGUGUGAGAUUAGGGGUACGUUGUACUACAGUGGCCAUUAUGCUAGUCCUAUUAACCAAAGUCUGUGGAGUGUCAUAAGGUAUGUUUAGUUUGGCCAUCAAUUCAGAGCUGGAUUACUGUCCUUUGGGGGGUAGCAUAUUGUUCAAGUAAGCCGUAAAACUUCCUCACAGUCCUGAUAAAUUUUGCCUUCUGUUUUAUGGAUUUACCCAUGCAGAACCUGGGAAAGUCAGAGAAACUCAGCUGUUGCCUGUUAAGAUAGUAGAGGGAUAUCUGCAAGAAUGUUAAAGAAUCCCUCUAAAUCAGCAUCAGCUCUCUAAAUCAUAGUAAUCUUUUUUAAGGGACAAAAUUGGUUUGAUAAGAUGCAGUCAUGUCAGAACUGGAAAUACAAAAGUGCGGUUAUUAAAAAUUAAUGCUGUAUCUUCUUUCCCCUCGUGUAUCUUGUCACUGACAUUACUUUACAAGUUGCGUAUCUAUUAAAUGUUUCAAACACUUUCAAACUAGAGCUCAUUAAGCAAAAUCUCAACUGGCAUAUAGCAAACAGUGUUUCAGAUUCAGAACUGUUAAUAUUUGUCUCCAGAGCUUUUUGUCUUCUAGGUUGUCAUCAAGCAAUCCAGCUGUCUGGGAAAACAGUUUCUAUCUGAGAAUACAGUUUGUGUUUCAUCUGAUCGGAUUCUGACUGUCCUUUGGGGUGAGGUAGUAGGUUGUAUAGUUUUAGGGUUAUGCCCUGCCUGUCAGAUAACUAUACAAUCUACUGUCUUUCCUGAAGUGGCUGUGAUAUCAUCGCUGGAUAUGUCUUCAAAAGAUAAACCAAAUUUAUUUCAACUUAAAUAUUUGCUGGCUCUGUCUACAUGUUGGAUUUGGUUUUUGUAGCAGGUUUGUGAAAGAAUACAAAGGCCCUUACAGCUUUUAGAUUCCUAUACCUGUCAUUCAGGUUCAAAACCAGUGUAAUUUUCCUCAUCUUCAGAGAGGUAUGUGGUACAAGUGACAAGCUGCAGAGGUACUGCACAGUCCACAAUGGGCUUGCUCACACUUAGCUUCCUCCUGCUGCUAAUGUGCUCAUAAGAGCUGCAUUUGGAAACAGCUGACCCAUUUCUCCAUUACUUUGUGGCAUUUGCAUUUAUAUUCAACAGAAAAUGCCACUUUGAUUCUCCAGUUAUUUACAUGCACUUUGCAUAUACUGUUCAAGAAACUAAAAAGUGACGACUUGGAUUAAAAGCAAAGAGAAUGUCUUCUGGUUGCUUGUGGUCUACCCUGGGACUGGUAGACGCUUGGCCUCCUACGUGAAGAAAACUUUUAAUCAGUUUUUUUCACUGAUUUAACUUACUUUUUUAUUACAUACGUUAAUUUGUGAGGGAGAGUGCUUUCCAGUGCAAUUCUUAGUCUCUGGAGUGACCCCGACAGUUCUGACUGACUUUCAAGAAGGACUCGGAGGAAGGGCUGGCAGGAUGUAAUUAUGAUCGUUUCAAAGCUAAAAAGAUGUGGGCUAGAAAGUCUUAAGUCUUACUUGCAAAUGGUGAAAUGUUAGUUUUCUUCAGAAGACUCACUUGAUGCUCUAACAGGAUGAGGUAGUAGGUUGUGUGGUUUCAGGGUAGUGAUUUUGCCCCAAUCAGGAGAUAACUAUACAACCUACUGCCUUCCCUGAUGAGCAGCAUUACAGCAUCAGUCACUUAAUUUUCAGAAAAGCAAGGGCUAAAAUACACUUCUGUGACCAGCAAAGUAAGUCUACAUACAAUUGUUGUUGCCCUGUCCCUGAUAGUUUUAAAUUUAGUGACUUGCAUUAUUUUUGAUAACUGCCUGCAAAAUCACUGUCUUUCUUUAAAUCCCGCUUAUCAUGAAAAAUUCAAUUAAAAAGUUUUGCUUAUUCCAAA